AAGAAGAAGAAGAAGAGUGUGAGGUGUGGUAUGAGGGAAGCCUAGGUGAUCUUCUUUUCCGUGUACCUGUACAGGUGCCCUGCGCAUCAUAAAUCCAGCAUGUAGUGCCAGGAGCUGCCGAUACAAAGGCCUGGCGGGGGAGAAAUCUCAAGCCACCGGUGACAUCAAGAUCAAGCUUUCCCCAGUCUGAAGGACUACACAACACUGCUCAUUUUGGGGCUUCUCCAUUGCUCUUAGCAGUACAGUUUGCCUCAAGAUGGCCGUAUCUGUGAUAAGAUAUAAUUGCAUGGAAUACAUGAAGCUGAGAUGGAAGGAAGGCUGCAUAAGAUAGGACUUUGAUCCUCAGCUGUAUGGUGGUUGGAUGGCAGGCAGCCGACAGGUGCUCCAUUGACUCUGCCAGCCAUCACAAAUCUCCAACAAGUCGUCAUCGGUGUUGCUGUACCCACCAAAGCAACCUGGAUGGAGAGCUGCCUUGUACCCAGCGAAGAGACGAAACCGCUGUCAGUCAUACUUCAGAACUGUCAGAGAUAAACGAUUGUUAAAUCAGAAAAUUCAGCUCUAAAAUGUUCUUUAUAGCUACUGCCUGUACUCUACUUACCAUUGUAUGGGAGUUUUUCUCCGGGGACUAUUUUAGAUAUUUUCAACUAUAGUUGGUUGACCCAAGUCUGAAGUGAGCAUUAUCGCGCAACCUGCAGCCACACGGCGUGUCCGAUUUUGUGGAUACUGUAUGCUAGCCUACGCAUAGUAAACAAUUAUCAGUGUCAAUAAUAUGCAGGCAGCAAUAACAAAUUCCGUCUAUUGUAGUUGAUUAUGAGAAAAAAAUAUUAGUAAGGUCACAAAGAGCUGUUUUGUUAUAUACAAGAUCGCUGAUUAUGAUUAUUAAACAGCCUUGAAGCUGUCCACCACCAAGAAAAUUAGAAGGCUUUAUAUUUAUAAAACGGCUGUUUGCAACAUUACUAAUAUUUUUUUUAACUCAGAAUUGUCUAUAAUUGACAGCAUUUGUUAUUGCUGCCUGCAUAUUAUUGACACUGACGAUUGUUUACCAUACGUACGCUAGCAUACAGUAUCCACGAAAUUGGACAUGCCGUGUGGCUGCACGUUGCGCGAUAAUGCUCACUUCAGACUCGGGUGAACCGACUAUAGACAAUUUUUAUUUUUAAACCUUCAGAAACACCUACUACAGCACUUUUUGCUGCAUACUGAAAGUAAUCAGAUGCCUUAGCAAAGCAAUUGUUGACUCAAGCAGAUUACGACAGCUGCCUUAAGAGAAAUAGUCAGGAUAAUUUGAUGUGUUAUGUAUCAGUUACCUUACAGUAAAGAUUUGCUGUAAAA